UCAAAAGCGGAGGAAAAGAAAAUAACAAGGAUUCCCCCCUGUAACGGCGAGUGAAGCGGGAAGAGCUCAAAUUUGAAAUCUGGCAGUCUUCGAUUGUCCGAGUUGUAAUCUAUAGAGGCGUUUUCCGUGCCGGACCGUGUCCAAGUCUCCUGGAAAGGAGUAUCAAAGAGGGUGAUAAUCCCGUACUUAACACGACCACCGGUGCUCUGUGAUACGUCUUCUACGAGUCGAGUUGUUUGGGAAUGCAGCUCAAAAUGGGUGGUGAAUUCCAUCUAAAGCUAAAUAUUGGCGAGAGACCGAUAGCGAACAAGUACCGUGAGGGAAAGAUGAAAAGCACUUUGGAAAGAGAGUUAAACAGUACGUGAAAUUGUUGAAAGGGAAACGAUUGAAGUCAGUCGUGUUCUUUGGAUUCAGCCAGUUCUGCUGGUCUACUUCCUUGGAACGGGUCAACAUCAGUUUUGUCCGGUGGAUAAAGGUAGUAGGAAUGUGACUUCUCCGGAAGUGUUAUAGCCUAUUAUCACAUACACUGGGUGAGACUGAGGACUGCAGCUCGCCUUUAUGGCCGGCCUUCGGGCACGUUCGAGCUUAGGAUGUGACAUAUGAUAGAACUU
rnacentral:rRNA from 1 species